GUUAAAGGACCACUAUAGGCACCCAGCCCAGUGGUCUGGGUGCCAGGUCCAUCUAGGAUUAACCCUUUCUGCUGUAAACAUAGAAGUUUCAGAGAAUCCAGGUUAAUCCAGCCUCUAGUGGCUGUCUCAUUGACAGCCGCUAGAGGCGCUUCCGCGCUUCUCACAGUGAUUUUCACAGUGAGAAGACACCAGCGUCCAUAGGAAAGCAUUGAGAAUGCUUUCCUAUGAGACUGGCUGAAUGUGCGCACGGCUCUUGCCGCGCAUGCACAUUCAGCCGAUGACGGGAAAGGAGGCGGAGAGUCUCCACCGCCGAUGUAGCCCAGCGGUGGAGAAAAGGUAUGUGUUUAACCCCU